CCCAACUAUCCCUAUUAAUCAUUACGUCGAUCCUAGAAACCAACAAAAUAGAAUCAAACGUCCUAUUUCGUUAUUCCAUGCUAAUGUAUUCAAGCGUGAGCCUGCUUUAAACACUCUAAUUUUUUCAAAGUAACAGUCCUGAUUCCCCAAGACACCAAAUUAAUGACAUCGUGGUUCGUCAGAAGGUAGGAAUCAAUAAUACCAGUACGUACAAUAGCACGACCAAUAAAUUGAUCCCGAAAUUCAACUACGAGCUUUUUAACUGCAACAACUUUAAUAUACGCUAUUGGAGCUGGAAUUACCGCGGCUGCUGGCACCAGACUUGCCCUCCAA
rnacentral:misc_RNA from 1 species